rnacentral:misc_RNA from 1 species
UUUUGUAUUGCUUGGAUGACAGAGUCAGAACUUCAGAAGCCUAGCACCGAAAAUUUUAAAAUAUAACCGUUGGAUAUAAGUUUUAUAUGAAUAUAUUCAACGGUUACGAUCAAGCCUUUUCGUCGUUCUCGGCCUUCCUUUUUCGAAGAAAGGAAAAUGCGAAAAAAUUAGAAAUUUGAGUGAGAGGGGUAACCCAACAUGGAGAUCGACACUGAUACUGUAAUUUUGCUUACAAGUAGUGAAGAUGGUGAAGCAUUGAGUGACGACAAGAAGAAGAAGACGGCUGAACAUUCAGAUUUCCAUGGCUUGGAAUGCCUCAAAGACAUUGUCGAAGCUCGAGCUCGCAUGAGAAGAAAGAGGAGAAAGAAAAAGAACAAGAACUGCAGCAAAAACCUAGAAUUUCAAGCCCGAGAUAAAGUCAGAGUUGAUGCUGCAACAGAAGAACAGCAAUCUGGACAAGCAAAAGCUGUGGAGAUAAAGGAGGUGACAGAAACAGAAUCGGUGGUUGUACCUGGAAAUGCUGUUGAUGCUGCAACAGAAGAACAGCAAUCUGGACAAGCAAAAGCUGUGGAGAUAAAGGAGGUGACAGAAACAGAAUCGGUGGUUGUACCUGGAAAUGCUGAAGAAAUGCAAGCUGAUCUAUCUGAAGUUGUGAAAACAACAAUAGUUCGUUUGAUUGUUUUGAUAUGAAAGUGGAAUAAUUUUGCUGCUUUAUGUUCAUUGUCAUCUAUAUUUGAAAUUUUUAGUGUCUAUUUGGAAUCAACAUUGAAAUGGCAUGGCCAAUACAUGAUAAAUAGACCUGAUUUGAUUGCAUUCUUCUCUUUCAGCUGUUAUGUAUAUUUGUAAUUGAUUUUCU